UGUUCGAUUCUAAUAAAGUUACGCCAGGUAGUGUAGAUUGCAUGCAGGAAAAAAGAAAUUGAAAAUCUUACAAUAAAAAAGAUAAAAACGGUUGUAACACUCUAUAUACUAGCGACAGGCCCGAUGUGUUGUUCUAUUCUUACCAUUUCCAAGAAUCUUAAGAAAAAAAACAAAAAACGGACAUGCAUUAGGUCACAUUCAAAUAGUCUCAAGUUGUUCGAGCAUGUUCAAUCAGAUAGAUGCUUCAUGGAAACCUGAGCCAGUUUGAGUUGUCAGGUUAAAAGAGGCAUGGGCAUAGGCCUUUGCUGCCAUAGGUAAGAGGAGAACAUCAACAAAAAAAAAUUAUGCAAAUUGGAUAUAACAAGCAAUUUCCACAAAGUAAUUGAGCAAGGCGAUGAACCUCUCGGACCUAUUGGAGCAGUCAAACACGUCAUGCAACAGAACAACCUUUUAAAAUCUCUCUGCAAGAACUAAAGUUAUUCAAUUUGUUGGAUAAUCAGAAAGAAACAUUCCAAAGCACAAUUAGUGGAUAAUCAAAACCAGCCAACUGCAGUAAGUAAUUAGUUUUGUACACUAAUAUGUAAAGGUAGCACCUUCUUUGGUAAUUAUGAACUAAAUUGACACAAUGUGCAUUUUAAGAUUUUCUAUUUUAUACAAAUAUGGGAAUCGUUUAGUAUAGAGAGAGAACUUGGGCAGGGAUUGUAAUCACGGGGCACUUCUGAACAAAACUUGGUCCAAAUUUUCUAUUUGAACAAAUAUUUUUCCAAGUGUAUAUUAAACUUUUAUUUCUUCAAUUUUCCCAGCAAACUUAGGGCGUCUUCUAGCUUUGGCCUUUGUUAAUUUGUUCAUAUUGCAUAUUUGUAAGAAACACUUCACUAAUCGUUCUAGAAAGAUGGAAGUUCCAACAUUGAGAGUAUUUGAUAAAACAAUGAACCAUUUGCAAUAUUGCAUGGAGAUUUAAAGAAUGGUUUUAACAUACCUAUGUACUUAAUACAGGGUGCAUAGUGCAUACAUGUCAAACCUUCCAUCGCAACUAACAUAAAUUAACCAAGAAAGAUGAAGCAACAAAUUGCUUAUAUGAUGCAUUUUUGCAAACAUCUUACACACAAGAAAGAGGUUACACCAUUUGUAAUGCACUAACUCAAAUUGGUUUCAGAGCUGUAAAACUUACAAAAAAAAUAACUUAUUAAAAAAAAGGUUUAGCAGCAAAUAUGCAAAUAAUAAAAUCCAGUGCAAGGCCGAUCAUCAAAAUCUCACCUAAAAAAUUAAAGGCAAGCCUUGAAAAUUAGGCAAAAUGUGAGAGUUUGAGAUGAAGGUCUGAACAGAUGCCUACCACAAUGGAGGCGAAGAUGCGGGUGAAGGCGCCGUUUCAAAGAGGAGAUUUUUCUGCUUGUUGAUACCCUGUCAUUACCAGAUCAUCUUGAAUAUGGUUUUUAAAAUGUUGAUUUCCCUCUUUUUCUCUACACUUAGUUUCCCAUGACAACUAGAAGUGGUUGCACACGCUAUGAUGUGCAUAAUUUAUUAUUAAAGCAAUAUUAUUAAUUAUGGUAAGAUUUUCUUAAUGCUUAUUUAAAUUUCAAAUAGAUAAUAGUAUAGAUAUCAAGAAUAUGUAAUUGACAAAAUAUAAUCAGAUCCAGAGAUGAAGGCAAGUAAGCGUGUGGGGCAUCCAUAUAUACCAUACUAAUCCUUGAAAAGUAAACCAUGCGAACGGGGAAAGAAACAUCUAGAUUGCUCAAUAUAAAGAAAAACAUUGCAAACUGAAUGGGUUUUAUAUCAACAAUCGAAGUUUCAUGCUCAUGUUACUGCCGGAACUGAUCUGGUUACGUUUAUGGCCUAUCAAUAAUUCAUUGUGCUAUAUCGUUUUUCUAGUUGUAGUUUUGCGAUUUUCUUUUUUAUACAGUAAAAUAAAAGUAUCGCGAAAACAGUUUUCCGGAAAAUCAGUUUUGUUGUUUUACUCCAAGGGGAAAAGAAAAUUUAAAAUCUGUUUCAGUUUUAGUUCCAGUUUUCCUUCGAUAAAAAAGUCCUAAAAGAAGAAAGACUUAACAAAAAUAGUUUCCAGAUUUGUUGUUUAAUAGUAGAUCGGAAGAGAGAAGAGAAGAGAAGAGCGAGAACCUGGAGAUGGACCCGGCGGUGGAGAUGGUGGCUGUGGCUGCGGCUGCGACGAACAGUGAGACAGAGAAAGAUGGAGAGUCGUAAGAACGUCAAAGGGAGAGGGAGAGGGAGAGGGAGAGGGAGAGAGUGCAACGGCAGCGACGCACCGUUUAGGUUGGAGGGGCAAAAUUGUCCUGAACGUCUCAAUUCACUUUCUCACUUCUCUCGUAAUUGUGCAUAUUUUGGACACUAAAACGCAAUUCCCCUUAUUUAUUCCCCUUGCCGUUUCGAUUUAA
rnacentral:lncRNA from 1 species